UCUACGGGUGGCAGCAGUGAGGAAUAUUGGUCAAUGGGCGCGAGCCUGAACCAGCCAAGUCGCGUGAGGGACGAAGGUUCCAUGGAUCGUAAACUUCUUUUAUCAGGGGACAAAGUGAGGCACGUGCCCCUUCCUGUAUGUACUUUAUGAAUAAGGAUCGGCUAACUCCGUGCCAGCAGCCGCGGUAAUACGGAGAAUCCGAGCGUUAUCCGGAUUUAUUGGGUUUAAAGGGUGCGUAGGCGGACUUUUAAGGCAGCGGUGAAAGUCCGUGGCUCGAACCUAGGAGAGCCGUUGAAACUGGGGGGCUGGAGAAUGUGAGAGGCAGGCGGAAUGCGUGGUGUAGCGGUGAAAUGCUUAGAUAUGGCGCAGAACCCCGAUUGCGAAGGCAGCCUACCGGG
rnacentral:rRNA from 1 species